GACGAACGCUGGCGGCGUGCCUAACACAUGCAAGUCAACGAGAAAGGGGUAGCAAUAUCCCGAGUAAAGUGGCGCACGGGUGAGUAACACGUAGGAACGUGCCUCGAGGUUCGGAAUAACCGAGGGAAACUUCGGCUAAUACCGGAUGAGCCCGAAAGGGGAAGAUUCAUCGCCUUGAGAGCGGCCCGCGUUGGAUUAGCUAGUUGGU
rnacentral:rRNA from 1 species